CCAGUCGUACCUUCGGGUAAUCAGCCUUUUCGGGUGCGAUUCUGUGGGGUUUGAGGAGCUUAACACCUUCAUGCUUUGCAUAUUCGUGCUCUUGGGUGUACUUGCCCGUGUGGUUGGUUAACAUCAAUUUCGGGCACCAUAAAAUGGCUGGAGGAAUGUAGCUUCGAUCUUGUAUUGAAGUGUUAUAGCCUUCGGUAGAUGUGAUGAUCAAGAUUGAGGAUUGCAACGGAUACCCUUCGGGGCUACCUGUCUGAUCUCUGAUCGUUGCUCUGGUGCCGAAAGCUUGCUUACGGUUAUCAAAGUCGAUGGUCAAUAGGUUAGAACGGGUUAAA
rnacentral:rRNA from 1 species